UAAGGAAUAUUGGACAAUGGAGGCAACUCUGAUCCAGCCAUGCCGCGUGAAGGAAUAAGGCCCUAUGGGUUGUAAACUUCUUUUAGACGGGACAAAACCCCUUUACGUGUAAAGGGUUGAUGGUACUGUCAGAAUAAGCAUCGGCUAACUUCGUGCCAGCAGCCGCGGUAAUACGAAGGAUGCAAGCGUUAUCCGGAAUUAUUGGGUUUAAAGGGUGCGUAGGCGGACUAAUAAGUCAGUGGUGAAAGCCUGCAGCUUAACUGCAGAAUUGCCAUUGAUACUGUUAGUCUUGAGUACAGUUGAGGUAGGCGGAAUGUGUCAUGUAGCGGUGAAAUGCUUAGAUAUGACACAGAACACCGAUUGCGAAGGCAGCUUACUACAUAUAAAUUGACGCUGAGGCACGAAAGCGUGGGGAUCAAACA
rnacentral:rRNA from 1 species